UACGGAGGUGGCAAGCGUUGUUCGGAAUUACUGGGCGUAAAGGGCGCGUAGGCGGGGAGGUAAGUCGGGUGUGAAAUCCCUCGGCUCAACCGAGGAACGGCGCUCGAAACUGCUUCUCUUGAGUCCCGGAGAGGAAGGUGGAAUUCCCGGUGUAGCGGUGAAAUGUGUAGAGAUCGGGAGGAACACCGGUGGCGAAGGCGGCCUUCUGGACGGUGACUGACGCUGAGGCGCGAAAGCGUGGGGAGCGAACAGG
rnacentral:rRNA from 1 species